rnacentral:rRNA from 1 species
GAGUUUGAUCUUGGCUCAGAUUGAACGCUGGCGGCAUGCCUUACACAUGCAAGUCGAACGGCAGCACGGGAGCUUGCUCCUGGUGGCGAGUGGCGAACGGGUGAGUAAUGCAUCGGAACGUAUCCUGGAGUGGGGGAUACCGUAGCGAAAGUUACGCUAAUACCGCAUAUUCUGUGAGCAGGAAAGCGGGGGACCUUCGGGCCUCGCGCUCUUGGAGCGGCCGAUGUCGGAUUAGCUAGUUGGUGAGGUAAAGGCUCACCAAGGCGACGAUCCGUAGCAGGUCUGAGAGGAUGAUCUGCCACACUGGAACUGAGACACGGUCCAGACUCCUACGGGAGGCAGCAGUGGGGAAUUUUGGACAAUGGGGGCAACCCUGAUCCAGCCAUGCCGCGUGAGUGAAGAAGGCCUCGGUUG